UAGUCAUAAUAUGGUGUCGGUGGCUCAU
rnacentral:piRNA from 1 species